AUUGCUUCUCUGCCUUUUGGCUAAGAAUAAGUGUAGUAUCUGUUCUUAUCAGUUUAAUUUUGGAAGAUACCACAUAUUCAGUAAUGGAUUUUGUUUUUCUUUCUCUUU
ensembl:snRNA U2 U2 spliceosomal RNA